rnacentral:misc_RNA from 1 species
GAAAUGCGAUAAGUAAUGUGAAUUGCAGAAUUCAGGGAAUCAUCGAAUCUUUGAACGCACCUUGCGCUCCUUGGUAUUUCUUGGAGCAUGCCUGUUUGAGUAUCAUGAAAUCUUCAAAGUAAAUCUUUUGUUAACUCAAUUGGUUUCUACUUUGGUAUUGGAGGUCUUUGCAGCUUCACACCUGCUCCUCUUUGUUCAUUAGCUGGAUCUCAGUGUUAUGCUUGGUUCCACUCGGCGUGAUAAGUUAUCUAUCGCUGAGGACACUGUAAAAGGUGGCCAAGGUAAAUGCAGAUGAACCGCUUCUAAUAGUCCAUUGACUUGGACAAUACUUUUAUGAUCUGAUCUCAAAUCAGGUAGGACUACCCGCUGAACUUAAGC